rnacentral:lncRNA from 10 species
UACUUUUCUUUUUUUUUUUUUUUGAGACAGGGUCUCGCUCUGUCACCCAGGCUGGAGUGCAGUGGCAUGAUCUCGGCUCACUGCACCCUCUGCCUCCUGGGUUCCAGCGAUUCUCCUGCCUCAGCCUCCCAGGUAGCUGGGAUUACAGGCACGUGCCACUAUGCCCGGCUAAUUUUUGUAUUUUUAGUAUAGACAGGGUUUCAC